rnacentral:rRNA from 1 species
UACGUAGGGGGCAAGCGUUGUCCGGAAUCAUUGGGCGUAAAGCGCGCGUAGGCGGUUACUUAAGUUGGAUGUGAAAGCCCUCGGCUUAACUGAGGAAGUGCAUCCAAAACUGAGUAGCUAGAGUACGAAAGAGGGUCGCGGAAUUCCCGGUGUAGAGGUGAAAUUCGUAGAUAUUCGGAAGAACACCAGUGGCGAAGGCGGCUCACUGGACUGGUAUUGACGCUGAGGUGCGAAAGCGUGGGGAGCAAACAGG